UACGUAGGGUGCAAGCGUUAAUCGGAAUUACUGGGCGUAAAGCGUGCGCAGGCGGUUGUGCAAGACAGAUGUGAAAUCCCCGGGCUUAACCCUGGGAAUUGCAUUUGUGACUGCACGGCUAGAGUGUGUCAGAGGGGGGUAGAAUUCCACGUGUAGCAGUGAAAUGCGUAGAUAUGUGGAGGAAUACCGAUGGCGAAGGCAGCCCCCUGGGAUAACACUGACGCUCAUGCACGAAAGCGUGGGGAGCAAACAGG
rnacentral:rRNA from 1 species